rnacentral:rRNA from 1 species
UACGAAGGGUGCAAGCGUUACUCGGAAUUACUGGGCGUAAAGCGUGCGUAGGGGGUUCGUUAAGUCUGAUGUGAAAGCCCUGGGCUCAACCUGGGAAUGGCAUUGGAAACUGGCGAUCUAGAGUGCGGUAGAGGGUAGUGGAAUUCCCGGUGUAGCAGUGAAAUGCGUAGAGAUCGGGAGGAACAUCUGUGGCGAAGGCGACUGCCUGGACCAGCACUGACACUGAGGCACGAAAGCGUGGGGAGCAAACAGG